GCUGGGCCCCAGGAGCCUCCCCAAGCCCUUGGCUCUUACUCCGCCCCCCUCCCCCUCCCAGCUCUCAGGUCCCUCCCUAAGCACCCCAGCCUGGCCAGGAGCCCGCCCCUCCCGCUUGGUCCCUGUCAGAUCUGAUGAAGCACCUUGAGUGCUUUCUGAGUGCUGAAGAAGCCUUGCACCCCGGGGAUAAAGCCCACCGGGUCAUCAUCUGAAGAAGCACAUGGAGUGCUCUCCGAGUGCUGAAGCAGCCUUGCACCCCGGGGAUAAACCCCACUGGGUCAUGCAUGCAGUGACCUGGAGUUCAGGGAAUUGGCAAACAGAUUGCGGGACUGGUUCAAGGACCUUCAUGAAAAUGGAAGCCAAAACAAGAUGA